CUCAAAUAUCUGAGUGGAGGUUCUGUUUGGGCUGCAUAAGACGAGCACAAGGCCAGAAUUACAGAGCGAAGUAUAAGGUGCACAGUACAUUCACAUGAGAGGAGAGGAUCAUGUAAGCAAAUUU